rnacentral:tRNA from 16 species
GCCUGGGUAGCUCAGGGGUAGAGCAGUGGAUUGAAAAUCCUCGUGUCGGUGGUUCGAUUCCGCCCCCGGGCACCA